rnacentral:piRNA from 1 species
UGCUUCCUUUAGUGUUGCUGCUAGGUGAC